rnacentral:piRNA from 1 species
UGNGAAGGGUUUACCAGGCAGGCCUUAGU